rnacentral:rRNA from 1 species
GUGUCAGCAGCCGCGGUAAUACGGAGGGUGCAAGCGUUAUCCGGAUUCACUGGGUUUAAAGGGAGCGUAGGCGGGCAGGUAAGUCAGUGGUGAAAUCCCCGAGCUUAACUUGGGAACUGCCAUUGAUACUAUCUGUCUUGAAUAUCCUGGAGGUAAGCGGAAUAUGUCAUGUAGCGGUGAAAUGCUUAGAUAUGACAUAGAACACCCAUUGCGAAGGCAGCUUACUACGGGAUUAUUGACGCUGAGGCUCGAAAGCGUGGGGAUCAAACAGGAUUAGAAACCCCCGUAGUCC